rnacentral:rRNA from 1 species
GACGAACGCUGGCGGCGUGCUUAAUACAUGCAAGUCGAACGGACAGGCCCUGCUUUUGUUCGGUGCUCGUUUGGCGAACGGGUGAGUAACACGCGUGUAACCUGCCCUUGUCUGUGGGAUAACUCUAGGGAACUCGGGCUAUUACCGCAUAGGAUCUCCUGCUCCAUGGUGUGGGAUGGAAAGAUUCGGCGGUGGGGGAUGGACUCGCGGCUUAUCAGCUGGUUGGUGGGGUAGUGGCUUACCAAGGCUUUGACGGGUAGCCGGCCUGAGAGGGUGACCGGCCACAUUGGGACUGAGAUACGGCCCAGACUCCUACGGGAGGCAGCAGUGGGGAAUAUUGCACAAUGGGCGGAAGCCUGAUGCAGCAACGCCGCGUGCGGGAUGACGGCCUUCGGGUUGUAAACCGCUUUCGCCUGUGACGAAGCGUGAGUGACGGUAAUGGGUAAAGAAGCACCGGCUAACUACGUG